GACGAACGCUGGCGGCGUGCUUAACACAUGCAAGUCGAACGGAAAGGCCCUGCUUGCAGGGUACUCGAGUGGCGAACGGGUGAGUAACACGUGGGUGAUCUGCCCUGCACUUCGGGAUAAGCCUGGGAAACUGGGUCUAAUACCGGAUAGGAGCCAUUUUUAGUGUGAUGGUUGGAAAGUUUUUUCGGUGUAGGAUGAGCUCGCGGCCUAUCAGCUUGUUGGUGGGGUAAUGGCCUACCAAGGCGGCGACGGGUAGCCGGCCUGAGAGGGUGGACGGCCACAUUGGGACUGAGAUACGGCCCAGACUCCUACGGGAGGCAGCAGUGGCGAAUGUUGCACAAUGGGCGCCAGCCUGAUGCAGCGACGCCGCGUGGGGGAUGACGGCCUUCGGGUUGUAAACUCCUUUCGCUAGGGACGAAGCUUUUUGUGACGGUACCUAGAGAAGAAGCACCGGCUAACUACGUG
rnacentral:rRNA from 1 species